rnacentral:tRNA from 1 species
GCGAGAUUAGUUUAGUGGCAAAACACGAGUUUUCCAAACUUGGGUCGCGGGUUCGAUUCCCGCAUCUCGCA